rnacentral:lncRNA from 1 species
AUGAUUUGGGAUUUACAAUAUAUUACAUUGUAAAUUAUGAUUCAGGAGUGCUCCUAGUAGCAUUUAACGUAUCUUGGUUUGUUUAUUUCUACUGCAUCUUGGUUGAAAAUUUGGUAUAGUAUGUGGCCUCUCCGUACGCGGUCUAUGUAUGAUGAUUUCCUAACUUUCGUUGUAUUGAAAAGUUCUCUUUCCGUCCCAGAUAGCAUGUAAACUUGUGGCAAGUUUGAUUCUUCUUUGAUUUUAAAUUGCUGUUCAAAUAUAACGAGGCAAGUUUGUGUCAAGUGUGCUGCAAUAUUGUUAUGACAAAGAUGAUGAUUCAUGUUUGUAGCAACUUUGCUGCAAGCUUACACUUGCAAUGUUGCAAAGCCACGUAACGCGUGCCAUCUAUUUGGUUGACUUAGACGUUACGGUCGGUUCGGUUCGGUUUUGUUCGGUACCCUGACUGAUGUCACGCCCACGCUAACGAAAGUGAUGCCACCGGAGGGAAAUUUCGCUUUUUGCGAGAAUUUUCAACAUCAAAGGGAAAAAGUUAACUUAUUAAGGGACUCUUUUCUUCAGUUCAAAUUGUAAAAUAUUUAAAAAAAUCAAAAUAUUUGAAAAUAAUUCAACAUAUUUUCACAGAUUUUUUAAAUAGGAGCAUUGGAGGGAAUUUUAUCAUAAAAUUGUGAAUUUUUAAGGUACGUUGAGGGAAAAAGCUUACUCGACAGUUGGCAACACGGGUAAGUAACCUGCCAAGUGCCAAGCGGUGAUAAUUUGUGGUUAUGUCCUAUGUUAUAUUUUUCUUUGAGUUUUUAGUUUUUAACUUAAAUUUACCCUACAAUUCUCCUAGACUAUUACUUUAAUUAUUAUUACUAAGCUGAAGCUUCUUUUUGAAGUUUACUAAGCUUACCGAUUGGUAUUCUUUUUGCUUUGGUGAAAUUGAGGUAAGUUUUUUGUUUUUCGUAGCUUCUAGCUGUAUUUACAUACUAUCUAGGUAUACUACAUUUAAAAUAAAUUUUAUUUAUAAUAUAUUAUAUAUAAAUAAGUUUUAGGUUUUAUUGUAAAAUUGUUACUUUAACAUCUUUUUAUCUCUUUUAAUAGCAAAUAUUAAUUCUGUUCACACAGCAAGAGUUUAUAACAAUUCCUUUUAUUUGUUUCAGAGCUGAUAGACUAAACUAUGAGCAUCGGAACACAAUCGGAAUCUGAAGCUACCGGUUUUAAUGUAAGUUCCAAUAAGUAAUUUUAGAAAAUAGAUUGUAUUUUAGUUGAGUGAUUAAUAAAUAGUUUUAUAAAAUGGUAUUGUAUUUUUUAUUCACCUUGUUUUAUUCAAAUUGUGGCUAGUAUGUCAAUACAAACCGUAAGCAAGUUUGUAUCAAGUUUGAAAAAACAAACUUCAUGCAACAAAACAAAAACAAACCUUCAGCAAGUUUGGUAUAUCAAGUUUGUAUCAAAUUUGAAAAAACAAACUUCGUGCAAGUUUGUCACAGUGUAACUAGCAAGUUUGCAAAGUUGCCAUGGCAAACCUGCAGCAAGCUUUCAUGUUUGAUGUAUCAAACUUGUUGCAAGUUUGAAACAAGUUUAUAUUGUUAUCUGGGGUGCCUAUCCUAUGCGGCACUUUUUGGUUUGAGGUAUAAGACAUCAAUACGAUACGGUAGAUUUCAAAGGCUUCCUGUUCAUUAAGGUUGAUAUUUUGAGAGUCAACGUUUCAACUGCAUAGAGGAUAGUCGACAAGAUUUUAGCAUGAGCAUUUUGAUAAACUUAGUCGAGUUUCAAAAAUCUAGGUUGUUGAACUUUUUGACCUGUUCUGAGCUGUGUUUGUGUAUUGUGCAAGAUUGAGUUAUAUUUUGAUUUUUUCGGUUUGAUACCACUUUGGUUCACACGUCGGAAUCCUCAAUCAAUACCGUAUCUUCGCCGUAUCUGAUACUGUUAAUGUUUACGCCAUUCACCGUGACUCCGUCGUUGGAAUCCUCCGGUGCCUCUUUAAAUGGGAAUUCGAAAUAUGAAUUAGGUAUAUAGCAGUGGUGAUAAAACAUAUCCUUGUGUAACUACUCUUCCAACUCCUACCUCUGCGAAUGUGGAUGCUUCGAUCUUAAUUCUGGUGUUUUGGUUUCAGCACAAGUUUAUCAGCCUUUGUUGCAAUUCGGCCGAGACCUUAAUCUCGAAAUUAUGACCUUAUCUCUUAAUUAACGAAUUCAACUCAUAUGUGAAGGAAACUAGUCUAAGUUUUAAGGCGAUUAAAAUUUGCAUUUUUGUCACCUAAAAAGGAAUUUCCCCCUUAUUAAAUGAAUCACAAAAUAUAGUACCUAUUUCAUCCUUAAAGAAAGAACAAAAGUCAAAAUAAAAAUAGAUUGUCUUUGUGUAAAUAAGAUUAUUUUUGAUAUUAGACAUCUUUGUACUAAACUGCUUCACAAAAUACUACAUAUUUUUAAAUAUUUAUUUUAUAUUUUACAAGUUUUACAUAUCUAAAAAACUAAAUGAAAGUACGAACGAACAUUGUAUAACAUUUUUUUUAUUUAUUUAGUUUAAGGCCUCGACUACUAACAGCCAUUGGCAUGGUUUAAUAUAUCAUGCCAAUCAGAUACCUAGUGUAGUCUGUAGUGUAUGUUGAGUAAAUGUCUUGUCUCUUAGUAAAGUCCACUUUAUUGUCUUUACAAAGAGACGCUAAUUGUAUCCGAACGUCCCUCCGACGGUCCCUCCGGUAAGUACGGAUCCUGGGUAGAAACUAUUUGCAUUUAUUAAUUUUUAUUGAAUGAAAAAUUUCCUACCCAGCUGAUAUUCUUGAGAACUUGCACUGUACCACAGAGGGAGGGGGGGGGGGACAAAAAAUUGCUAGAAAAACUAGACAUAAUGAACAUAUUUGUAUUCCAAACUAAGGAGGAUAGGAAAAACAACUAUUUAGUCGAACACCAAUUUUUUAAAACCAGACUAAAAAAGAACGAUGCAGCAAUGGAAUCUUUUCCAACGUGAUAUCACGGUAGAGCAUUACAAACAUGGUCAGUUUGCUGUGUUGCCUUUUUUGAGAAAAAGACAAUCUUUUUGUUUUUAAAGCAGUUAAUGACCCAACUCAUACUCCUCUAAAUCGACUCAAUCAAUAUAAUAAACAGAGAUUUGUGGUGAUCUGAAAGUUAGCUGUUCUCUUAGGAAUUCAGUUAGGCCACACAACAAACUAUGUUUUUAUGUAUGUGUGAUUAGCUAGCAAAUAUAGGAUAUCAUAUUAUUUAGAAACAGACGGGUCUGCAAGAAAUCUUGACCCUAACGACAAGAGUGUCGUGGUUGAACCUCUUGUGAAACCAAAGGGUAAUUUGAAUGAAUCAAAAAGAGAAAGAUUUACAAUAAUUAAGAAACAAAUUUUCUUUAUUAAGUAAAACACCUUAAUACUAGAUACUUAGAACACUUUAAUACUAGAUACAUUUAGAUUUCUACCAUCAUCGUGACCUACAAUAAUUCUGGAAUUAUUAAUUGAAAUUUAUGUAGUCGUGCCAUCUAUUUCCGCGAGUCGAAACUUAACCCUACAUAAAUAAGGAAUUUCCAUUUUUCUUUUGUACUUUCCACUAGUUUCCAGCCAGAGGCGUUACUCACUAUAUACACAGUGUAUUAUCUUUACAAACUGAUAUUGGAGUCUAUGGGUCGAUCUGUACCAAUCUGCUUUCCGGAUGAAACAUUUUUUUUAUUAAAUUUCAUACAUAGAGAAAUAUUUCUGGCAUGGGUUGCUUAUCAAAAUCGUGUAAUAGCUAUUUAAAGGGGGCCGUAGGGUUUGAAAUCAAUAUUUCAAACACAUUUUUUUUAAAUGAACAAUCACAACAAUUGCACAACCAAUCUUACAUCUAUUAGUUCUUGAACAUCCAGAACAACAUCUAAUAAUCCCAA